rnacentral:rRNA from 1 species
GAUUCCCCUAGUAACGGCGAGUGAAGCGGGAUGAGCUCAAAUUUAAAAUCUGGCUGGUUUACUAGUCCGAAUUGUAGUUUAAAGAAGCGUUUUCGGUGGCAGCCUGGGUAUAAAUCCUUUGGAACAGGGUAUCAUAGAGGGUGAGAAUCCCGUCUUUGACUCAGUGCAUGCUACUAUGUGAUACGUUUUCAAAGAGUCGAGUUGUUUGGGAAUGCAGCUCAAAAUGGGUGGUAAAUUUCAUCUAAGGCUAAAUAUUGGCGAGAGACCGAUAGCGAACAAGUACCGUGAGGGAAAGAUGAAAAGAACUUUGAAAAGAGAGUUAAACAGUGCGUGAAAUUGUUGAAAGGGAAACGCUUGACACCAGUCAUGCGAGCGGAAAAUCAGUCUUUUGCAGUGGGGAGUUGUGUGGGUUCGGACCGCAAGGCCGGCCUGCGCUGCAUCUCUGCUGUAAGUGAUGCACUUUUUCGUUUGCAGGCCAACAUCAGUUUCUUCUGCUGGACAAAACUCUUGAGAAGGUAGCAGCUUUGGCUGUGUUAUAGCUCUUGAGCGAUACAGUGGAGGGGACUGAGGUUUUCGCAGCGCGUGCUCUCGGGCAAG